GAUUUUUUAAAUUUUGGUUAUUCAUUUGUAAGUCCUACAAAAUAUCUAAGGGUAGUGUUAUCAUUUAAUUAAUUAAAGGAAUCCUAGAUGAGAGGUAUAUAAGUCAACUUGGUCAUUACAUAGUGGAGAAUUUUAAUUUUUUGAUAAUUUACUUUCUCAUUUCAAAUAUAAAAAAACAUUGAAAAAAAGAGAGAAGAAAAGUAAAUGAGAAAGGAGACAAAUAAGUUUCGGUAACAGAGAAAAUAUUUUUCUACUCCCCUCUCAUCUUACACUA
rnacentral:lncRNA from 1 species